rnacentral:lncRNA from 1 species
CUUUUUUUUUUUUUUUUUAAAUGAAGUUGGUAACAGCAUGCCCUCUUCUUAAAGGAGGCUUACAUGAAAGGCGGGGACAGACUUUUUUAACAGGGCCUGUAGCAAUAGGACAAGGGGUAUUGGUUUUAAACUGAAAGAGGGGAGAUUCACACUGGAUAUAAGGAGGACAAACAAGCCAACUUGACUUCUGCAGAGAGGCAGGAGGGAUACAUGAGGGCAGCCAAGUAGAACAAAUACUGCAGUACAGUGACUUACACUAGAUUAAGCCACUCUUGCUUUGCCCACUGGAAGACAAUAGUCAGAUUUGUGCUUUUUCUCCCAAGCACAUGAGAUGAGCUGAGCCAGUUGGUUAAAACUCCCCAAAGAAUACCAGAACCUCCUCCUAUAUUUGAACAUCAAGUGAAGCUUUUCAAUCAGUCAGCUGAACUGAGGCUUGGAAUACAGCUGGUGUACUUCAUUCUCAUUAAAAGUCUUGGGAAAAAUAGGGUCCCAGUUCUUUGUAAAAUGUCACCUGUUUAUAGUAUUAUGACUUUAGCUAUACAGUGCCCAGCUACAAAAAACCCCAAUGAGUUUGUAUUAACUGGAUUUCAACAAUUCUGGAAAUUAGGUGGAAGUUGAGCAAAUUUACAGCAUUCUGACACUACUUACAUUAAAAAAAAAAAAAAAAAGCUAACCACAGCUCAAAUUAAUAAAAUUUCCCAUCUAAUUUUUAACCUCUGUGCCCACUGAAUAAAAAGCCAGCCCACUCUCUUUGAAAUGUCAAAAACAAUUACUGCAAAACUGCCCCAAUUUAGCAAAAUACUGAAAUAUCAGCAGAAGAUGAGCUCCAGCUGGGAACUGCAGGUCCUGUGAUGUACCAACAAGGGAAGGAAUAGCAGUUCCAUUAGUGUUUAAACUACAAUUCAAUUUGCUGUUCACUUUUGUGGGAGCAACCUCCCCAGAUUUUCCCCAGGUUGACACCAUUCCUCUAUUUUACCAUAAAAUGCAUUAUCUUUCAUGUAACUUUACAAUGGCAACUACACUAAUUGCAUAUAUGGAAAAUAACAGAAGUAUCAAACGUAUUUUGGCUAUUUUUGAGGCAGUAAAUUUUGUCUGUGCUGAAAAUACAUAACUACAUGAAUUACUUUUGCUUUACAUUUAGCUUUUCAUUUCCUUCUGGUUUGGGGAGGGGGUUGUGGUUUGGGUUUUUUUUCCCUCCUUCUUUUCUUAUUGUUCUACCUAUAAUUUGCCUUUGAUUUGUUUCCCUUCUCUGAUUCCUUCUUCUGUGUCUAUUCAUAGUAUGCUAUCGCACACACUCGCCUAUUUGCUGUUUGGUGCGUGCGUUUGUUUUCCUUUUUCUCCCCCCCCCCCGGCUAUGCUUCCCAAACACUUGGUCCCCUCCCUCUCUCUGAAAACCCCUUUUCUUGCACAUCUUCCUUAGUCUCUUCACAGACAGCAAGGCCUUUAGCUUAUCUUUUCCCUUUGCUUUUUUUGCACAGCCCCUGUGCAAAACAAAAGGAGCCAUCAGAUGCAGGCAUCUUGCUGCCUGCAUUGUGGGAGCCUCUAGAAACCCACGCUUUAAAGGUAGCUGCCAGACUUCAAAGGA